rnacentral:sRNA from 1 species
ACUGCCGUGAAAAGCAGGAGGUUCUA